rnacentral:rRNA from 1 species
GACGAACGCUGGCGGCGUGCUUAACACAUGCAAGUCGAACGGAAAGGCCCUGCUUUUGUGGGGUGCUCGAGUGGCGAACGGGUGAGUAACACGUGAGUAACCUGCCCUUGACUUUGGGAUAACUUCAGGAAACUGGGGCUAAUACCGGAUAGGAGCUCCUGCUGCAUGGUGGGGGUUGGAAAGUUUCGGCGGUUGGGGAUGGACUCGCGGCUUAUCAGCUUGUUGGUGGGGUAGUGGCUUACCAAGGCUUUGGAGGGUAGCCGGCCUGAGAGGGUGACCGGCCACAUUGGGACUGAGAUACGGACCAGACUCCUACGGGAGGCAGCAGUGGGGAAUAUUGCACAAUGGGCGGAAGCCUGAUGCAGCAACGCCGCGUGCGGGAUGACGGCCUUCGGGUUGUAAACCGCUUUCGCCUGUGACGAAGCGUGAGUGACGGUAAUGGGUAAAGAAGCACCGGCUAACUACGUG